GCUAAAUAUUUGGUUGUGGAACAAGCAGAAAGCAUGUUGGGCUCGGAAUCUUUCGAAUUCCAUCUGGCAAAGACGAAUUAUCAACUAGAGCUCGAGAGGCUUGGGUUAGGAAACAUAAUUACAAAGAAUCGACAUAUGGACAAAAGUUUACGUCGCCAGAUCGAUAUUAAAGGCGAGCUGCAUGUUUUCGAGCAUAGAAACAUCCCAAGAUUGAAAUACAUUGAUUGUCGUACGUGUAUUCUUAUUUUUUUCGUAAGCAAUGAGUUAAAACUGUGCGAAAGAGGCAAUAACGUGAGAACAACUUAUAUCUACCAGGGCAAAACCAGGCAGUAAUAAUGCACCUAUCAAUGUUAAGCCCCCAGGGGGGGAGGCCGGG